GGUGAACGUUGGCGGCGCGUCUAAUACAUGCAAGUCGAGCGAGGCUUCGAGCCGAGCGGCGGACGGCUGAGUAACACGUUGGUAGCUACCCCGUACUCAGGGAUAACACUGAGAAAUCAGUGCUAAUACCGGAUGGUCCCGAAAGGGUAAAGAUUUAUCGGUACGGGAGGUGCCUGCGGCCUAUCAGCUAGUUGGUGAGGUAAUGGCUCACCAAGGCUAUGACGGGUAACUGGUCUGAGAGGACGACCAGUCAGAGGGAAACUGAGACACGGUUCCCACUCCUACGGGAGGCAGCAGUAAAGAAUCUUCCGCAAUGGACGCAAGUCUGACGGAGCGACGCCGCGUGCAGGAUGAAGGCCUUCGGGUCGUAAACUGCUUUUCUGAGGGAAUAAUUCUGAAUGUACCUCAGGAAUAAGCACCGGCAAAUCACGUGCCAGCAGCCGCGGUAAAGUAGUACGUGU
rnacentral:rRNA from 1 species